GCCGUACAAGGGCAAAUCCGUCGCGAGGCGGAGACGCAAUGCUUCCGGUCUUGGGAUCAAGAUGGCGGGGCUGCCAGG
rnacentral:ncRNA from 1 species